rnacentral:rRNA from 1 species
AUUGAACGCUGGCGGCAGGCCUAACACAUGCAAGUCGAGCGAGCGGCGGACGGGUGAGUAAUGUAUGGGGACUGCCCGAUAGAGGGGGAUAACUACUGGAAACGGUAGCUAAUACCGCAUACUAUCGGAUAACCCAUAUGGGAUUAGCUAGUAGGUGAGGUAAUGGCUCACCUAGGCGACGAUCCCUAGCUGGUCUGAGAGGAUGAGCAGCAAACAUGGGACUGAGACACGGCCCAGACUCCUACGGAGGCCGGAGUGGUGAGUAUUGCACAAGGGGCGCAAGCCGGAUGCAGCCAUGCCGCGUGUAGGAAGAAGGCCCUAGGGUUGUAAAGUACUUUCAGUCGGGAGGCGUUACCGACAGAUGAAGCACCGGCUAACUCCGUGCCAGCAGCCGCGGUAAUAC